ensembl:misc_RNA 7SK 7SK RNA
GAAUGUGAGGGUGAUCUGGUUGUGACAUCUGUCACCCUAUUGAUUACUAAGCUUGAUUUGGCUGAUCUGGCUGGCUAGGCAUUGUCCUCUUCCUCCCUCACUGCUCCAUGUGCAUCCUCACAAAGUUGUGUGCUCGGUCGAAGAGAACGACCUUCCCCAAUAAUGGAGGACCAUUCUUCUGUCAAGGGUAUACGAGUAGCUAAGCUCCCCUGCUAGAACCUCCAAAUAAGCUCUCAAGGUCCAUUUAUAGGAGAAUGUAGGGUAGUGAAGUUUCCAAGACUCCAGACACAUCUAAAUGAGAUGCUGCAUGUGGCAGUCUGCCUUUCUUA